UAAUACGUAUGGUGCAAACGUUGUUCGGAAUCACUGGGCCUAAAGAGCGCGUAGGCGGUUUGAUAAGUCAGGUGUGAAAUCCCUCGGCUCAACCGAGGAACUGCACCUGAUACUGUCUCACUCGAGUGCAGGAGGGGAGAGUGGAAUUCCUGGUGGAGCGGUGAAAUGCGUAGAUAUCAGGAGGAACGCCGGUGGCGAAAGCGACUCUCUGGUCUGCCACUGACGCUGAGGCGCGAAAGCCAGGGGAGCAAACGGGAUUAGAUACCCCGGUAGUCCUGGCCCUAAACGAUGGGCACUAAGUAGAGGGAGUUCCGAUGCUGUCUCUGCUGAAGCUAACGUAUUAAGUGCCCCGCCUGGGGAGUAUGGUCGCAAGGCUG
rnacentral:rRNA from 1 species